rnacentral:rRNA from 1 species
GUCGGGAAUUUUGGGCAAUGGGCGAAAGCCUGACCCAGCAACGCCGCGUGAGGGAUGAAGUAUUUCGGUAUGUAAACCUCGAAAGAAUGGGAAGAAUAAAUGACGGUACCAUUUAUAAGCUCCGGCUAACUACGUGCCAGCAGCCGCGGUAAUACGUAGGGAGCAAGCGUUGUUCGGAUUUACUGGGCGUAAAGGGCGCGUAGGCGGCGCGGUAAGUCACUUGUGAAAUCUCUGAGCUUAACUCAGAACGGCCAAGUGAUACUGCUGUGCUAGAGUGCGGAAGAGGCAACCGGAAUUCUUGGUGUAGCGGUGAAAUGCGUAGAUAUCAAGAGGAACACCUGAGGCGAAGGCGGGUUGCUGGGCCGACACUGACGCUGAUGCGCGAAAGCCAGGGGAGCAAACG